CACACACGCUCACACACACAGGCCUAAAGAAACAUGAUCUCACAAAAGGCUUAAUUUUUAGCCAGAACACAGUGUUCUCCUGCCAUCCAGUGAGAGCAGCAAGGGGAGCUGAAAAAAGCCAGGAACACUUUGUCAAGACUACUACACUACACCUCAGCACAGCAACAAGUCAACAUCUUGUUUGAGUUUAGCCCUCAGCUGCUGAUGGCACACUGUACAGAGAUCUGCUCCUGCUGGGUUUUUACAACUUUAUUGGAAGGUCUCACGAAAGACUGCCUAACUCCAGAUUAUGUAACCUCUGCUUUUCACCAAGUAGGUAUGCAGUAGUCUCCAAGUCCAAACUGAGACCCCCCCCCCACAAUCCUGCCUCCAUUCCCCUUGGCUCUCCAACUGGAUGGGAUUACGUAAGUUGUUGGUCUGAACCCUUGGCAGCGUCCUGGGAUUUUUAUUAACUGUGCUGUAUAUUAUUUUUAUACCCUCUAGUGCAGCACUAGUGAUUGCCAGCCCUGUCAUCCCAACACCCUCUGCCAAGGUGAACAUGGCAGAAGGUCACAGGAUGCCAACACAUAAACACUUGGAACACAUUCAUACACAUAGUACAAAAUAAUGCAGUCUUUCACUCAUACAUGUAAACUCACUAUAGUAGGUGUUCCCAUCAUCACUGAUUUUCACAUUUUAGCUCUGUGAGAGUUGUUCAGAUGCUGCAAUUAGCAUAACAUUGAAGAUGAUAAGAAGAAAUUGCUAUUUGACAGAAGUUCCUCUUUGGCAGAUUCCGAAUGACAAAAUUUGUAUUGUCAAUUGUCUCAAAACAACAUAUCCAGUUGCAGGAAAAAAGUUUUAAAAAAGAUUUACGCAGAAUUGCUCAGAAAAUGUGAUCUGAGCUUCAUCUAGGUCACAACAAUAGGCAAACACAGUCUGCUUAUAUCUUUUCAUGUUUUUAUUGAACACACUGUGUAAACAUUCACAGUGCAGGGUGCAAAAAGUAUGUGAACUCUUGGAUUUAAUAACUGGUUGACCCUCCUUUGGCAGCAAUAACUUAAACAAAAUGUUUCCUGUAGCUAGAGAUCAGACCUGAACAACGGUCAGGAGGAAUUGCGGACCAUUCCUCUAUACAAGUCUGUUUCAGUUCAGCAAUAUUCUUGGGAUGUCUGGUGUGAAUCGCUCUCUUGAGGUUAUGCCACAGCUUCACAAUCGGGUUGAGGUCAGGACUUUGACUGGGCCACUCCAGAAGGUGUAUUUUCUUCUGCUGAAGCCGUUCUGUGCUUUGGGUCAUUGUCCUGUUGCAUCACCUAUCUUCUAUUGAGCUUCAAUUGGCAGACAGAUGCACAAUUUCUUUAUAAACUUUGGAAUUCAUUCUUCCGUCGACAAUAUCAACUCUUCCAGGCCCUGAGGCAGUGAAGCUGCCCCAAACCAUUACUCCCCCUCCACCAUACUUUGCAGUUGGGAUGAGGUUUUGAUAUUGGUGUGCUGCCUGUUUUCCUAGGCACAUAGGGUUGUGUUUCCUUCCAAACAACUCAAAUGUGGA